rnacentral:lncRNA from 1 species
GGAGGAAGGAAGGAAGGAAGGAAGGAAGGAAGGAAGGAAGAAUUAAGCAAUGCUUUAUAAAAUAUAUAUGUAAUUUUUAAGCAUUAACUGUGUGCCAAGCACUGCACUGGACACAGGAGAUGCAAAGAUGACCGAGACCAGUCUCUUUCUUUAGAAGUUUCUAAAAGAGGAGGGGCUACAACCCAUUGUGACACAGGAGGGGGUGUUAGUUAAAUAGGGGUGAAGACUGUGCUGGGGGAAGGGAGGAAGGUCAGAGGCUCCUGGCGUCCUGGGAGGGGGGUACUUGGAGGAAGCGGGAGAGGGUUUGGAGGGCAACGUUCUGUUUGGGAUGCUCUGCCUGUUCCCCUGCCCAGCUGGGCUCAUGGGGCCGGCUCCUACGUUAGGUCUCAGCUCAGCUCCGAUGUCACCUGCUCUAGGGUGUGUGACCUCCACUGUCUUCUGUGGCGGCCAGCGCUGACCCUGCUUGUGGCCUUCACCACGCUCACCUUAAGUUUCUCCUCUGUUCCACCCUUCAGACCGAGUCCUCCAGAGGAGAGCCUAGAUCUCAGUCACCUUUCCAGUCCGGGACGCGGUGGCGCAGGCCCUCUGCCAGGUGCUGCUCAGUAAGUACUAAUGGGGCGACUAGAUCAGCGGGGCAAAGGGGGACCCGGGCACAGCCCAGCGUUGCUGACGGGAGGUGCAGGUGCGCCAGACCCAAAGCUUGAGCCCGCCCCCCUCGCCUCCUCUGCUCGGUGCGGCCUCUCCCGGGUCCUGAGUUCUCACCUCUCCAUCCUGCCGGUCAGCACGGUGGCUCUCGCCUGUCCUAAGAAAACUUUCCCUUCAACCAUCAGCCUAUCUUUUCCUCCCUUUCAGUAUUAAACUUCAAAAAAUAAUGGUUUCUAUUUGCGGCCCACACUUUCUCAGCUUCCACUCACUCUCCAAUCUCCCGGAUAUGUCUGCUGUCCCCACCACUGACUCUUUGAGGCACCACCCCACCCACCGUCUCCCAGUCCUCCUCAGGCCCAGCUUAAGACAUCCCCUCUUUAGGUAAACACUCUCUGACCUCCAAAGCAGGCUUAGGUGUCCCGUCUUGGUGCCUUCCAGGAGACGCUGGGCUCUCUUGGCCUCCAAGAUUCUCCCUCUAGCUCUCUAACCAGUUUUUGUCUCCUCUGUCUUUGGACUGUGGUCCCUCGACUCACGCCCCACGCGGGACCUCAUUCUCUCCAAGGCUUUCUUCACCACCCAAAAUGCUGAGGACCCCCAACCUUUAUUUCUGACCCCAAAUUCUCCCCUGACCUCUGGAUCCCUGUCUCCCAUUUCCUACAGGGUUUCUCCUUCUGAAUAUCCUCAUAACCUUUCCAUCUCAGAAUAUAUGACUUGAGGGGUGCCUGGGUGGCUCAGUCAGUUAAUCGUCCAACUUCGGCUCAGGUCAUGAUCUCGUGGUUCGUGGGUUGGAGCCCCGCAUGGGGCUCUGUGCUGACAGCUCGGAGCCUGGAGCCUGCUUCGGAUUCUGUGUCUCCCUCUCUCUCUGCCCCUCCCCUGCUCUCUCUCCCUCUCUCUCUCUCUCUUUCAAAUACAACUAAGCAUUAAAGUAUACACAUGUACAUGUAUAUAUAUAUAUGUACAUAUAUAUGCAUAUGUACAUAUAUAUGCACAUAUAUAUAUAUACCUUGAACUCAUUGCCUAUACCUGCCACCUGAACCAAAUCCUCCUUCCUUUUCCAACUGAAAGCGCCACCCGGACCGCUCAGGCACCCUAACCAUUCCUUCUUCCUCACCCUCCAUACGCAUUCCAUGCAUGGUCUGUUGUACCUCCUCUCUAGAAUAUCUCACAUCCAUCCCCUCCCCAGGGCUCUCAGUGUCUCUUGCCAGGACUACGGCAAGCCUUCCGCUUUCUCUCCCGGCUUCCAGGCAUGUCAGCCCACGUCCACACUGCCACGAGGGAACCUUCUGGAACACACACUUGACUGCGACACUCAUCUGUUUCAGAGUGUCCAACAAUUGAUUUCCCUGCUGCUUCCAAGGUAAAGUCCAAACUCGAACCUGACAGACCUGUGAUGGGCAAGGUUUAAAGGCCACGUCACCCUUCCGGUGAUCAUCACUAAUCACUGUUUUGAUCAGUGACCCUUUCCAUUCCGAUCCCUUUUCAGCCUAAUCCAGCCUCACGAACUACAGGCCCUCGAACACGUCCAACACCACCAGGACUCCAGUCUUUUGUCAAUACUGCUCUCUCAGCCUGGACCGUCCCCUCCACUCCACACAGUUCCCUGAAAGCGAACAGUGUGGCUGUCAUCUUCGCACAACCCGUGUGUCCCAGCCUUGUGCCUGGCACAUAAUAGGGACUUAGUAACUUUUGAAUAAAGAGCUCCCAGGUUUUUAAAAAAAAAUUUUUUUUUUAAUAUUUACUUAUUUUGAAAACGAGAGAGUGAGAUGAUCCCAAGCAGGCUCCUCACUGUCAGCGCAGAGCCCAACGCAGGGCUCGAACUCACGAACCGGGAGGUCAUAACCUGAGUCAAGAUCAAGAGAUUAACCAGCUGAGCCGCCCAGGCGCCCCAGAACUCCCAGUUCUUAGUGUCACUUCUUCACUGCUUCUCCCGGCUCCAGUGAGAUGUGAUUGUUGCUUCCGGGCUUCAUUCAUUUAACAGAUUUCGUGAGUUCCUGCUAUGUUUCAGGCACUGUGCUAAUGGGGGGGGGUGCGGAGAUACGAGAAAGUUCAGUCUAGGUUAAUAGACUGUCAAGUAAAUAAUUAUAACACCGAGGGUAGGUACCGUGAUGAGUCCUCUGUCACACACCUUUGCCGUAGAGAAACUAAUACGAAAAGCCAAACCAUGGACAUGCUCGUUGGGGAGCAUGGUGUCUGGGCAGCGGGAAGGCGUUGGAUGAAUCAAACGUUCUGUGACAUCUUGGUCCAUUCAGGCUAUUCUAACAAGGUACCACAACCUGCGUAGCUUCCAAACCACAGAAAUGUAUUUCUCACAGUUUUGAAGGCUGGGAAGCCGAAGAGGAAGGCAUCAAUGUGGUGGAAUUCUGGUGACAACCUGCUUCUUGGUUCACAGCUGUCAGCCUCUCUCUCUGUGCCCUCACGUGGUGGAAGGGCUGAGGAAACUCUGUGGGGUCUCUUAUACAAGGGCACUAAUCUCAUUCAGGAAGGUGCCACACUCAUGACCUAAGCACCUUCCAAAAGCUCUACUUCCCAACACCGUCAUCUUGGGGCACCCGUGUGGCUCAGUCAGUUAAGCAUCCGACUUCUGCUUAGGUCAUGAUCUUGCCGUUCAUGAGUUCGAGCCCUGCGCCGAGCUCUGUGCUGACAGUUCAGAGCCUGGAGCGGGCCUCAGAUUCUGUGUCUCCCUCUGUCUCUUCCCCUCCCCUGCUCAUGCUUGGU